UACGUAGGGUGCAAGCGUUGUCCGGAAUUAUUGGGCGUAAAGGGCUCGUAGGCGGUCUGUCACGUCGGGAGUGAAAACACGGGGCUUAACCCCGUGCCUGCUUCCGAUACGGGCAGACUAGAGGUAUGCAGGGGAGAACGGAAUUCCUGGUGUAGCGGUGAAAUGCGCAGAUAUCAGGAGGAACACCGGUGGCGAAGGCGGUUCUCUGGGCAUUACCUGACGCUGAGGAGCGAAAGUGUGGGGAGCGAACAGG
rnacentral:rRNA from 1 species